UACAGAGGGGGCUAGCGUUGUUCGGAAUUACUGGGCGUAAAGGGCGCGUAGGCGGCCCGCUAAGUCGAACGUGAAAUCCCCGGGCUCAACCCGGGAACUGCGUCCGAUACUGGCAGGCUUGAAUCCGGGAGAGGGAUGUGGAAUUCCAGGUGUAGCGGUGAAAUGCGUAGAUAUCUGGAGGAACACCGGUGGCGAAGGCGGCGUUCUGGACUGUAUCUGACACUGAGGAGCGAAAGCGUGGGGAGCGAACAGG
rnacentral:rRNA from 1 species